rnacentral:misc_RNA from 1 species
GGUAUAGUUACCCAUCGUGCUCGGUACUACGAACGCGUUAGUCGAUGUCCAGCGACUGACAUCUAUUCGGUAUUUGGGGAAACUAAAAUAGCUUUACAUGGGCAACGGGUCGGAAAAUUUGUAUCUGGGUACGAGCAGGGCGUAUUUUGAUUACCGCGGGUCUCGAGGAAAAGUUAAAGACAAUCACGUGGGAAGUCGAUAGUCAACUGCGAGGACGAAAGUAUUGGCGCCAUUGAAGACGAGGACAGCCGAAAUGGAGGAGAAUCAAACAUCGGAAAGUGUCGCUGUGUUACCGGACAUGUCCGAACCGUUGACGAGCGAAACCGAGGAGUCGGCUGCCCUAACGGGCGAACACGAAGCCCAUCCUGUUGCUGUCACGGCCAACGUUUCCUCCGUUCCAGGGGUCGGCGUUCCCGUUUCGCUACCCGUUGGCUCGAUCAUCGGGGUAGCUAAUUCCAGCAAUGGCACCACCUUCAACGUCAUUACCUCCGACCAGCUGCAGCUACCGGGCUCGGGUCAAUUUAAGCAAAUGUUAUGCGUGGAUAAUGGAUUUAUCUGUGAACCUCGUCAUGACAAGGAUAGCGAUCCUUUACGCUGGAACGGGGAGUUGAAAGCGACGCAUAUCGUAAUCCAGAACAGUACAGAUGAAAAUGAUAGUGAUCAAAUCCAUGUCACAACAGCCAACUCGCAGCCAAUAUGCAGUUGGUCAGAGUCUGCGAACAUGGCUGUACUGCCAGUUAGGUGUAAAAACACUAAUGCAGAACUGCACAAAAGUAGAUUUGGGUCAGGGGGAAGAGGACGUUGCAUAAAACUUGGAGAUACUUGGUACACACCUAGUGAGUUUGAAGCUCUUUGUGGAAGAGCAUCGAGUAAAGACUGGAAACGUAGCAUAAGGUUUGGGGGCAGGAGUUUACAGACCUUGAUAGAUGAACAGAUAUUGAAACCACAUGCCACAUCCUGUACUUGUGCAGCCUGCUGUGACGACGAUAGCGCUACUGGCCCAGUGCGAUUGUUCACUCCUUACAAGCGUAGGAGAAGAGCGCGAGAAACCUCUGAUGGUGAGACUCCAAAUCGCAAACACAAAAGUGACAAUUCUCGAGACGGAAGUAACAAUGACGACAGUGACACUGAAGUUGUUGUACCCGAUAAGGAAAGCUGGUCUCAAUUUGUAUCAGCAGAUGGGUUGGUGGUACAACAAUCACAAGAACAGGAAACAGUUGUGCAGAGUGUGCAUCAAAUUGAAAAUGGACAAAACGAAGAUAUUUUUAAGAAGCUCGACGAAAUGUCAAAUAAGAUGUUGAAACUAGCCUAUGAAUUUAGGCAAACUCUUGCCGAAGCCAAAGAAUUGAAUAGGCAACAGAAGCGAGAGCAAGCUCUUGCUGCGCAACUCAAUGUCCGAGGUGAAGUAAUUGAAACAGUUGGUCUGCAGCCAACUUCGGAUACACACAACAAAAAAUGUGCCAACUGCAAUCGUGAAGCUUUCGCUGAGUGUUCGCUGUGUAGGCGUACGCCUUAUUGUUCUACGUUCUGCCAACGAAAAGAUUGGGCUGGUCAUCAGGUAGAAUGUGUAAGAGGCGCUGCAGAGACAGUUAUGCUGAUAGUUGAGAGUAGUAGCGGGGAUGCGAAUGCACUUUCAACAUCAGCCGGGGACCAAUAGCUAGUGUUCCUCACUCCGAUUCAUCAAAAGAAUCCUGGGAGUGAAGAAUUGGAUAUGGAAAAUUCGCCAACAGAAGAAUUAGAAACAGAUAUUAAAGUUGCCAAGUCCGAGAUGGACAAGAAAGAUAGAGAAUAGAAUAAUUAUGUUUUCGAAGGAAAAUAAUAACAAUAAUGAGCAAAGUAAUGAAAUGAUCCAGGUAUUAGCGUGUUACAUUGGUGUUAUAAAUAGAAUAGCAUAGAAUACUGAUGUCAACAUUCUUGAAUACUUGGAAUUUUGAAAAUUGAGAUCGAGAAUAUUUUGCCAAUCAAAGACAACUUGGAGUGCAACUUGUUUUUCUGCGAACGAAUUCAUACCAAAUGUUAGCUUUUAGAUAUUUUCUACACACCCAAUCUAACAAUGAUGUGGUAGGAAUAAAGAUUGUGAAAUAGUGUAAAGAAAUGAAGCAGUGAAUUUUGGUCGGACGCAAAAUGUUUGAAACACGAAGCAUCAAAAAAAUUGAGGGACUUCACCAACUUAAGGUUGUACACCUAAUUUCACAUACUUGUGAUAUAAAUGUUCAAAGAAACGUGUGAAGGUGUGAGUUCCAUGCAAUAUUUCUCUGCCGAACCAUUCAGGUAAAUCUAUAUUAUUACAAUAUUCUAAUAAGAUAAAGUUGAACAUUUUACAAAAGCCAAUACAUACCUGAAAUUUAAAGUCCUGAUUAUUUGUAAUCAUUGAGAUAAUUAUAAUAUAUGAGCUCAUCUCUAUGAGCUUUAAUUUAUUUUCAAUUUCAAGGAUGCAUUAAAUUAUUCUGCAACCACGAAUUGCAUGCAUGGUCUACCAUUUUUCAUCAAAUGUCAUUUAAUCACCAUCAUUGAUGUUUCUUAUAGAAAUGAGUGAGUAGCAAUCAUCUAUCUAAUAUAAUAAUCAUCUCACAAAAAUACCAGAUAUAGUGCUAUUAAUACAUUUCAUUAUUAUAACCAUAUAUGAAAAUCAUGAAAAGUUGGUAAUAUUGAUCAUCAAAAAAAGUAAUUAUCUAUACGUAAAACCAAGUGAUUACAGCGUUUAUAUAAAAUAACUUAUAACUUAUAUUUGAUGUGAUCGGGCUUCGAAUCCUGAGAUGAGCAUUUUUUCGUUUGAUAGUUUUAAUCGGUAUAAGGAUUAUAAUAUGCGUUGAAAUUUUUCACCACUUUCUAACUUUAUUCGCAAGUUGUAGGUAUUGUUAUUUAUGAAGAAUUAUGGAGAAUACUGCCCUCCUGGAAUACGCUAGUUGGUUCUAAUAGUUGUAUACUCGCAGAGGUUGAUUAUGGAAACGAAUCAUCAUAGUUGAUUAAAUGUGCAGUGUUACCAUCGACAUAUAGUAAUGUCGAUGAAUGUUACUAUCGGUACAUAGUAACUAAUAGUUACCAUAGUGUUUCAACCACGGUCUUACACGUUUCAACCGGUGAAUCAAGCGCUGCUUUUGUUUUUUAAAAUUUCCUAGUACCUGCUACUGGCAGAAAUCUAGAGCUAUAGGCAUGAAAAAUUUUCUUCGAAAUGUUAGAAAAUUUGAAUAUAUCAUAGCCCAUGGGUUUUAAUGCAUUUUCCGUCUAAUGUACUUUGCUAGUUAAGGGGUAUCGAACGCAAGUUCUGUAAGUAUUAGGUCGAAUAUUUUGCACUAUUGGAGCCCCACAUUCAUUUUCCAUGGAAAGGUCAAACCAUUUAUGUAACUGGAUAUAAAACAAAGAGUGAUAAAACUUUAAUAUCGGUACGUCUACAUCAAAGGUGUCAUCAAAGAGUUUACGCAGCUUUUUAUGGCUACAUAUUAUACUCAUAAAUCAUCGUGAAAUUAUAUGCAUAACUCGGAUUACGUCGUUUAGCCAUCAUAAGAUGUUUUAUUUUGUACAAUAAUUAUGAAUAACUAAUAAACGAUAUCAACUCGUAAUUUUAGUAACUAAUAGUUUCCAUAGUGUUUCAACCGAUACAAAUAAGCAUUGCCUUUAUUAUUUGAAAUUCCCAAAUACCCG